UGGGGAAUAUUGGACAAUGGGCGCAAGCCUGAUCCAGCCAUGCCGCGUGAGUGAUGAAGGCCCUAGGGUUGUAAAGCUCUUUUAUCCGGGACGAUAAUGACGGUACCGGAAGAAUAAGCCCCGGCUAACUUCGUGCCAGCAGCCGCGGUAAUACGAAGGGGGCUAGCGUUGCUCGGAAUCACUGGGCGUAAAGGGCGCGUAGGCGGACGUUUAAGUCAGGGGUGAAAUCCCGGGGCUCAACCUCGGAAUUGCCUUUGAUACUGGAUGUCUCGAGACCGGAAGAGGUAAGUGGAACUGCGAGUGUAGAGGUGAAAUUCGUAGAUAUUCGCAAGAACACCAGUGGCGAAGGCGGCUUACUGGUCCGGAUCUGACGCUGAGGCGCGAAAGCGUGGGGAGCAAACA
rnacentral:rRNA from 1 species